rnacentral:lncRNA from 1 species
GCUGUACCCCUAUUUUUGACUUUUUUACCUAUUGUGUCUGUUUGUUUUGUUCACGCAUCGGUGACAAUAUAAUGGAAUUUGAUGCGACUGUCAUACAAAUGAGAGGUUUAGCUAGCUAUAAAACCAGGUUCAAUCCACCAUUUUCUACAUUUGAAAAUGCCUGUACCAAGUCAGGAAUAUGACAGUUCUUGUCCAUUCAUUUUUGAUGCGUUUUGUUAUUUGAUUUUGCCAUGUGAUUAUG